CCAGCAGCCGCGGUAAUACGUAGGCAGCAAGCGUUGUUCGGAGUUACUGGGCGUAAAGGGUGUGUAGGCGGUUUGGUAAGUCUGGUGUGAAAUCUCCCGGCUCAACUGGGAGGGUGCGCCGGAAACUGCUGGACUCGAGUGCGGGAGAGGAGAGUGGAAUUCCUGGUGUAGCGGUGAAAUGCGUAGAUAUCAGGAGGAACACCUGUGGCGAAGGCGGAUCUCUGGGCCAUUACUGACGCUGAGGAGCGAAAGCGUGGGGAGCAAACAGGAUUAGAUACCCUGGUAAAGGG
rnacentral:rRNA from 1 species